GGCGCAGAAGGAGAAAGCACCUGGGUAAAGGUUACAGCACAAAUGUGGUGCAGCUGGGUUCGUACCCGCACCCAUGUGACUUUUUCAGCCCAAGCUUUCAACUGUGGCAGAUGCUGAGUGACCAGGAGGCAGCAAAAAAAAAACAAAACAAAACAACCAAACAUGUUUCUGUGUGUCUACAAGAGACACUCUUAAAUACAAGGAAGCAGAAAGAUUGAAGACAGAAAGAAGUACUGAUACAUUCCCAGGAAUACAUAGACUGUAUUUUCUGGCUUUAACGUAGUAAAACUAGAUGUAAGCAACUAAAGAAUAGCUGAACACCUCACAUCUGCAAAUGGAAUAGAAUAUUACUAAAAUACAUUGAGCUAAAAAAAUCAGAAGAGAAAUUGAAAUACUUAGAGCUGAAAGACAUUGAAAACACUGCAGUAUUUCAUUACUGAAGAUGCAUCCUAAUUUUAUAUACCACUAAGAAAGGAAAAGACUGCUACUUGAAACAUGUCAUGACACUGACUAUAAGACGUGUCUUAAUUUCAGAGAUGAUAGAUAAGAAAAAUAUGCUUUUUAUUGGGUUGGCCAAUAAGGUACUUUGGUUUUUAGCUGCUUUCGGUUGGUCUAAUUGGGAGCAGUAUUUAUUGGAAUUAAUCGUGUGGUUUUUCUGGAAGGAGCUCAUAAUAGAGGACUCCCUUCUAAUCCCACCAUAUAUAUAACAUCACCUUCUUUGGAUGAAGACCUGCCUUUGGCGAGGUCCAUCUGACUGGGGAGCAUCAUCCAGCAAGAAAUCUCCAACAGGAAACUUCACAAACCACUUCUGACACAAUUGACCAGCACUUUCUCCACACACUGUACACAUACAUUUUUUUUGCAUUUCAGUUGCAUUUUUACCUUC